rnacentral:rRNA from 1 species
UUAAGUUAAUAAGGGCGCACGGUGGAUGCCUUGGCACUAGGAGCCGAAGAAGGACGUGACAAACGACGAUAUGCCUUGGGUAGCUGUAAGUAAGCGAUGAUCCAGGGAUUUCCGAAUGGGGGAACCCAACAGGUACUACCUGUUACCCGCAUCUGUUAAGGAUGUGAGGAGGAAGACGCAGUGAACUGAAACAUCUAAGUAGCUGCAGGAAGAGAAAGCAAAAGCGAUUGCCUUAGUAGCGGCGAGCGAAACGGCAGGAGGGCAAACCGAAGAGUUUACUCUUCGGGGUUGUAGGACUGCAAUGUGGACUCAAAGAUUAUAGAAGAAUGAUUUGGGAAGAUCAGCCAAAGAGAGUAAUAGCCUCGUAUUUAAAAUAGUCUUUGUACCUAGCAGUAUCCUGAGUACGGCGGGACACGCGAAAUCCCGUCGGAAUCUGGGAGGACCAUCUCCCAACCCUAAAUACUCCCUAGUGACCGAUAGUGAACCAGUACCGUGAGGGAAAGGUGAAAAGCACCCCGGGAGGGGAGUGAAAUAGAACCUGAAACCGUGUGCCUACAACAAGUUCGAGCCCGUUAAUGGGUGAGAGCGUGCCUUUUGUAGAAUGAACCGGCGAGUUACGUUAUGAUGCGAGGUUAAGUUGAAGAGACGGAGCCGUAGGGAAACCGAGUCUGAAUAGGGCGAAUUAGUAUCAUGACGUAGACCCGAAACCAUGUGACCUACCCAUGAGCAGGUUGAAGGUGCGGUAAGACGCACUGGAGGACCGAACCAGGGCACGUUGAAAAGUGCUUGGAUGACUUGUGGGUAGCGGAGAAAUUCCAAACGAACUUGGAGAUAGCUGGUUCUCUCCGAAAUAGCUUUAGGGCUAGCGUCGACAUUAGAGAUUCUUGGAGGUAGAGCACUGUUUGGGUGAGGGGUCCAUCCCGGAUUACCAAUCUCAGAUAAACUCCGAAUGCCAAUGAAUUAUGGUCGGCAGUCAGACUGCGAGUGCUAAGAUCCGUAGUCGAAAGGGAAACAGCCCAGACCACCAGCUAAGGUCCCAAAAUAAUUGUUAAGUGGAAAAGGAUGUGGGGUUGCACAGACAACUAGGAUGUUAGCUUAGAAGCAGCUAUUCAUUCAAAGAGUGCGUAAUAGCUCACUAGUCGAGUGACCCUGCGCCGAAAAUGUACCGGGGCUAAAACAAUUUACCGAAGCUGUGGAUACCUUUAUAGGUAUGGUAGGAGAGCGUUCUAUGUGUGAAGAAGGUGUACCGUGAGGAGUGCUGGAACGCAUAGAAGUGAGAAUGCCGGUAUGAGUAGCGAAAGACAGGUGAGAAUCCUGUCCACCGUAAGACUAAGGUUUCCAGGGGAAGGCUCGUCCGCCCUGGGUUAGUCGGGACCUAAGGAGAGACCGAAAGGUGUAUCCGAUGGACAACAGGUUGAUAUUCCUGUACUAGAGUAUGUAGUGAUGGAGGGACGCAGUAGGCUAACUAAAGCAGACGAUUGGAAGUGUCUGUCUAAGCAGUGAGGUGUGAACUGAGUCAAAUGCUUAGUUCUAUAACAUUGAGCUGUGAUGGGGAGCGAAGUUUAGUAGCGAAGUUAGUGACGUCACACUGCCAAGAAAAGCUUCUAGCGUUUAAACAUACUCUACCCGUACCGCAAACCGACACAGGUAGUCGAGGCGAGUAGCCUCAGGUGAGCGAGAGAACUCUCGUUAAGGAACUCGGCAAAAUGACCCCGUAACUUCGGGAGAAGGGGUGCUGACUUUAAGUCAGCCGCAGUGAAUAGGCCCAAGCAACUGUUUAUCAAAAACACAGCUCUCUGCUAAAUCGUAAGAUGAUGUAUAGGGGGUGACGCCUGCCCGGUGCUGGAAGGUUAAGAGGAGUGCUUAGCGUAAGCGAAGGUAUGAAUUGAAGCCCCAGUAAACGGCGGCCGUAACUAUAACGGUCCUAAGGUAGCGAAAUUCCUUGUCGGGUAAGUUCCGACCCGCACGAAAGGCGUAAUGAUUUGGGCACUGUCUCAACGAGAGACUCGGUGAAAUUUUAGUACCUGUGAAGAUGCAGGUUACCCGCGACAGGACGGAAAGACCCCAUGGAGCUUUACUGCAGUUUGAUAUUGAGUGUCUGUACCACAUGUACAGGAUAGGUAGGAG